UACGUAGGGGGCAAGCGUUGUCCGGAUUUAUUGGGCGUAAAGAGCGUGUAGGCGGCCUUACAGGUCAGCUGUGAAAACUCGAGGCUCAACCUCGAGACGUCGGUUGAAACCGUAAGGCUAGAGUCCGGAAGAGGAGAGUGGAAUUCCUGGUGUAGCGGUGAAAUGCGCAGAUAUCAGGAAGAACGCCCGUGGCGAAAGCGGCUCUCUGGAACGGUACUGACGCUGAGACGCGAAAGCGUGGGGAGCGAACAGG
rnacentral:rRNA from 1 species